rnacentral:rRNA from 1 species
AGCAGCCGCGGUAAUUCCAGCUCCAAUAGCGUAUAUUAAAGUUGUUGCAGUUAAAAAGCUCGUAGUUGAAUUUCGGGAUCAAAGGAUCGGUCAUGCUUUGGUAUGUACUGGUUUUAUUGGUUCUCACCUUCUAAAGAACCAUAAUGUCAUUCAUUUGAUGUUAUGGGGAAUUAGGACUGUUACCUUGAAAAAAUUAGAGUGUUUAAAGUAGGCUUACGCUUGAAUACAUUAGCAUGGAAUAAUGAAAUAGGACAUCAGAUUCUAUUUUGUUGGUUUCUAGGAUCGAUGUAAUGAUUAAUAGGGAUAGUUGGGGGCAUUAGUAUUCAAUUGUCAGAGGUGAAAUUCUUGGAUUUAUUGAAGACUAACUACUGCGAAAGCAUUUGCCAAGGAUGUUUUCAUUAAUCAAGAACGAAAGUUAGGGGAUCGAAGACGAUCAGAUACCGUCGUAGUCUUAACCAUAAACUAAUGCCGACUAGGGAUCGGAUG